CCGCAUAAGCGCACGAGGAGACAUCUCCUAGUGUGAAAAACUCCGGUGGUACAGGAUGGGCCCGCGUCUGAUUAGCUGGUUGGCAGGGUAACGGCCUACCAAGGCAACGAUCAGUAGCCGGUCUGAGAGGAUGAACGGCCACAUUGGAACUGAGACACGGUCCAAACUCCUACGGGAGGCAGCAGUGGGGAAUAUUGCACAAUGGGGGAAACCCUGAUGCAGCAACGCCGCGUGAGUGAAGAAGUAUUUCGGUAUGUAAAGCUCUAUCAGCAGGGAAGAUAAUGACGGUACCUGACUAAGAAGCUCCGGCUAAAUACGUGCCAGCAGCCGCGGUAAUACGUAUGGAGCAAGCGUUAUCCGGAUUUACUGGGUGUAAAGGGUGCGUAGGUGGCAGUGCAAGUCAGAUGUGAAAGGCCGGGGCUCAACCCCGGAGCUGCAUUUGAAACUGCUCGGCUAGAGUACAGGAGAGGCAGGCGGAAUUCCUAGUGUAGCGGUGAAAUGCGUAGAUAUUAGGAGGAACACCAGUGGCGAAGGCGGCCUGCUGGACUGUUACUGACACUGAGGCACGAAAGCGUGGGGAGCAAACAGGAUUAGAUACCCUGGUAGUCCACGCCGU
rnacentral:rRNA from 1 species